GUGAUCACUUGGACAGCACAUAUACUAAAAUUGGAAAGAUACAGAAAUUAGCAUGAACCCUGCAUAGGGAUGACACGUAAAUUCAUGAAGUGUUUCAUAUUUUA